rnacentral:rRNA from 1 species
UACGUAGGGUGCGAGCGUUGUCCUGAAUUACUGGGCGUAAAGAGCUCGUAGGUGGUUUGUCGCGUUGUUCGUGAAAACUCACAGCUCAACUGUGGGCGUGCGGGCGAUACGGGCAGACUAGAGUACUGCAGGGGAGACUGGAAUUCCUGGUGUAGCGGUGGAAUGCGCAGAUAUCAGGAGGAACACCGGUGGCGAAGGCGGGUCUCUGGGCAGUAACUGACGCUGAGGAGCGAAAGCGUGGGGAGCGAACAGG